GACGAACCGUGCGAACGUUGUUCGGAAUCACUGGGCUUAAAGGGCGCGUAGGCGGGUUGCCAAGUCCGGGGUGAAAGCCUCCAGCUUAACUGGAGAAGUGCCUUGGAUACUGGUGAUCUCGAGGGAGGUAGGGGCAUGUGGAACUUCCGGUGGAGCGGUGAAAUGCGUAGAUAUCGGAAGGAACGCCGGUGGCGAAAGCGACGUGCUGGACCUCUUCUGACGCUGAGGCGCGGAAAGCCAGGGGAGCAAACGGG
rnacentral:rRNA from 1 species